UCUCUCAACACAUAUGAUAUACACUGUUCUGUCUCAAACACUUUUUGCUGUCACCAAACCUCACCCGCUCUCACCACCGACGCUCGCCACCAUCGCACAUCGCCACCUGCAAAUCACUAGCGCCACUUAAUCACAGUCAGCUGGGGCUUUGUCAAUUAAUAUUGGUAAGUGCUGGUUCUGUGCUCUUAUUAGAAGUAUCACCUGCAGGACUUGACCAUUUCGGAUCGGAUGGUAUUGUUCAUUUCUGCUAGCUCACUACGGGUCUUAUUUUGAUAAUUUGAAUUAUAAUUUUUGUAUUGUUCUGAAUUUUCAGCAGAAAACUAUUAACUGUUUGUAGUGAAAAUUAGUUUGAUUUGAACAAUUAGUUAGGCAAGGAUGGUGAGAAAGUGAAGGAUUAUACUAACUGAUAGACAAAAUUGAAAUGCUAGUGUUGUAGAACAGGAAUGAUCAUCAAACCGCUGCUUGUAAUUGCUAUAUAUAUAAAAAAAAAAAAAAAUAAGAAAAAAGAAACUCCUCUGUUGUGAUAGGGCAUCUGUUGAAGUAGUGAUUGCUGAUAGCACAUUUCAAAGAUGGGUUCGUGAGGUUCCGAGUUGUGGUACGGUUAAUUUAAUUGGGUUUCAUCUUGUUUUCUUGUGUUUCAUCUUUUUGUGGGUUUGUUUUGAUUUGAAUGAGUUCUGAGUUUUUGAAUUCCGCACAUUAACAUUGUUUUCAUUCAAUGUUAUUUGUGGGAAAAUUAUAUGGUGAUGUAUGAAUUAUGGUCUGAAUUAUGGAUCAUGUGGUGCUUUGUAAGGGAAUAUAUUUGAGAAAUAAGGGAAUUGUUAUAUUCAAAUAAAACUGUAACUCUUCAUUUGCGGAUGUGUGCUCCCCUGCCAAGUUUGAUGCCUGGGUUCAAGUCUUACUGCUGUGAGUGCAGCUUCCCUUCCCCUAUUACCCACCUAUCUAAAAAAUAAAUUAAAAUAAAAAGUGGAAUGAUAAAACAUCCUAUUGUUUGAAGGUUAUGGUAUUUAUCUUGGAAAAUUCUAAUGUGUAUGAAGUGCAUUGAAAUGUUUAUUUAUUUUGGCCCAAGGGGCCUGCCCCCAGAAGUUUAGAAAGCUACUUUUAUUUUCUAAGCAACAAUUACUUGGGCUUGAGUUCACAUCUACAGUUUCAAAAGCUGCUGCAAAGGUGGGUUUAAUCAUUAAUGGUCAACAACAUUUUAUUUACUUUUUUGUAUUAAAUAUUUUUUAGACAUUUGCCUAAGUUGUUUUGGCCCUCCUGUUUUAGGUAGCCCUAGCACAUGGAAUGGGCCCAAGGGGUUCUGCUUUAAUCUAUGGGUAUACAAGUUACCAUGGACUGCUUGAGUCGUGCUUGGCAGACUUGAAAAAGAAAGAGAAGGUGAUUGCUUAGUUUUGUGCUAAAAAGGACACUAGCUUGCCAAAGGACCUCUAUUUUUGUUGCUUAGGAAUUGGCUGUCACUGUCACAUUGUUUUUUCCAAGCAUGUUUUAAAUGUGGUUUGUGAAUCCAUGUCAUUUCACUUAUAAGUUGUUUUCUGUUCAAUUGAAAUCCUAUAUUUGAGGGAACCUCCUGAUUGCAUAAAUUCAGAUGCUAUAUUAGUCCUUUUGGCAUGGAAGAGGAGUGCUUGAUAUAAGUAACAGUCUUGCUUGUGAAGACCCAUAAGGGUAAUGCAAAGAUUUUGCAUUAUAUAAUUUUCUUUUAUAGUUUCAAAUAUGCCAAUGCUAUGUGGUCAAUACUAAUGAUUAAUUUUUUUUUUUACCGAUGAUUUUUGGCAUGGAAUUGUAGAUAUUCCUUUUUUGUCUACAGAGGACGUGGUUUUUGUACUACUUUUUAUUUUGUAUGAAAUUAUUAUUUUCAGUUGGAAUAUACUUGGUUUGUAUAAAAUUUGACAUUAAAA